rnacentral:rRNA from 1 species
UACGUAGGGUGCAAGCGUUAAUCGGAAUUACUGGGCGUAAAGCGUGCGCAGGCGGUUAUUUAAGUCAGAUGUGAAAUCCCCGGGCUCAACCUGGGAACUGCAGUUGUGACUGCAUAGCUAGAGUACGGUAGGGGGGGAUGGAAUUCCGCGUGUAGCAGUGAAAUGCGUAGAUAUGCGGAGGAACACCGAUGGCGAAGGCAAUCCCCUGGACCUGUACUGACGCUCAUGCACGAAAGCGUGGGGAGCGAACAGG